CUCGCGGCUAGGAUUGGGGGAGACCGGCGAGAUCGGUUUCUUUUCUUAGGUUAGGGGUUGGAGGAAGGGUAGGGGACGCGAGCCUGCUUCCAUCUGGCGCUGGACGCUUGUCCCUGCCCCGCGUUGCCUUUUAAAUUUUAGCUCAUUCCGAGACACCUGCCGUCAGACAUUUAUGCAGUGUGUGAUUCUUUCUAAAACAACUCCCUGGAAGAGAGGACAUUUAAUUCAACAAUUUAUUGGCCACCUACUGUGCACCAGGCAGUAAACUUGGAACUGGGGCUACUGGGUUACAGCAGUGACCAAGACAGAGGUCCCUGUUCUUAAGGAGCAAGUGAGGGCAACAGAAAAGAGCAGUCAGCUGUCAUGCGAGGGCACUCAAGCAGCCCUGUGGAAAGCUCUACGUGGUGAGAAACUGAAGCCUCCUGCCAACACCAACAAGGAACUGAGACCUACUUCCAACAGCCAUCUGAGUGAUCCAUCCUGGAAUCAGAUCCUCCAGCCCCAGUCAAGUCUUCAGAUGACUGCAGCCCUGACCAGCAUCUCAACUGCAACCUCGUGAAUGACCCUGAGCCAGAACCAUGCAACUGAACUCUGCCUGGAUUCAUGACCCACAGAAACUGUGAGAUGGUAGCUGUUUGCUUUGUUAAGCCUCUAAGUCUGGAAAGAAUGUCUUAAGCAGUAGCAGACAAUGAACAAAAGAUUAUUAUUUAGCUGUUGAAUUGGAAGAGGAGGGGAAGAAAAAAUUUUCAGAUCACAGAAUAUUCAUCGUGUAAAACUUCAAAAAUUCUGAAAUUUAAGGAAAAAAUAUCAUUUGUUGGGAAUUUGUUGGGAUUCAUUGUCUCAGUGCCAAGAGACACCCACUCUUUUUUUUUUUUUUUUUGAGACAGAGUCCUGCUCUGUUGCCCAGGCUGAAGGGCAGUGGCACGAUCUCAGCUCACCACAACCUCUGCCUCCCAGGUUCAAGUGAUUCUCCUCCCUAAGCCUCCCAAGUGGCUGGGACUACAGGCAUGCAUCACCAUGCCCGGCUAAUUUUUGUACUUUUAGUAGAGACGGGGUUUCACUAUGUUGGCCAGGCUGAUCUCAAACUCUUGACCCCGUGAUCCGCCCGCCUCAGCCUCCCAAAGUGCCGGGAUUACAGGCAUGAGCCACUGCGCCCGGCCGAGACACUCACUCUUAACAUUUUGGUAUAUUUUUUCUCUCUGCGCAUUUUUUAUCCAGCUGACUUUAUUUUGUCUCCUGAAAUCUUCAUUUUUAAAUUAUAGCUUCAGCAUUUAAGAAAAUGUGUCUAACAAAGUCUUCGCAAGCAUACAUUUUUCCCAUAGUUAUUAUACUUAGAAUUUAUUUGUCAAGCAAUUUUGAAGGGCUUUCACUGUGAAAAACUUUAGGGCUUAUUGAUAUUCUCUUUAAGUAGAAGUAUGUUUUUUAUUAUUACAAAAGUUAUAUAUAUA